CCGAACCGAGUGCACCUGCUGCAGCCUGGCACUAGGGAUUUGAACAUCCAUGGAGAUGGAAACCUAUGCCGAGGUUAGAAGACCUGGAUCCACUUUGCAGGAUUUUAAAUAUCCUUCAAGCCUCAGUGCCUGGCAGACUGGACUUUGGACUUCGGACUUCCAGCUCCGAUGCUGAAAAAGGAGGGUUUUUUUGUUUGUUUGUUUUUCCACUUUGCUUCCUUGCUUGUCGAGGCUGAGAACAUACGGUGUUUUUGAGGGCCACCAUCUACGGGUACUCGCUUCUCCAAACCUUGGAACCCGAGGUCUAGCCUUGGAAAGAGUUGCCGCCUUACCGUCUCUCCUCGCCUAGAGAAGCCCCAGCUGUGUGCGCUACUUCAGGGUCACAGUGCCGCGGUGCCGAGCUUCUUUCGUGGUCCCUGUCGCCGUCAGUUUCUUGAGAUUUCAGACUCUGGGCUUGGAAACCAGUUGACUGCCUUUCUUAGCGAGGUGCCCUCGGAAACCUGUGGAGGAAUGUUUGGAUUAUGAAUGCUCACCGUGCCGAGGUAAAGCAUAUGGUUUUGGCGCCUUCGGGCCCUGUGGUCAGCGGUGGGACGGAUCGGACGUUGCAGAAGCACUUUUCUGCGGUGUUUAGAAGGUGCUACCCACCUUCAGCUGACUGUAGUUGGAAUGACCCUCAGCUGGACUUUGGGAACUCACUUGAACUAGUUAGAAACUUCGAAGUACCUAGCAGGAAGCGGCGGGGGUGGGGUGGGGGUGGGAUUAGAAUUUAGCCUGGUCCACUGGGACACUUGGAUACCCCACUGUAAAUGAUCCUGACCUCAGCCCCAAGAAUACAGGCAGCACCCGGUGGGACCGGUUCUCUCCCUCUCUCUCCCUCUCUCUGUCUCUCUCUCAAGGCUACAUACGCAGCUCUGCCCUUUACUUCAUUUUCUCUAGGUUUUGAGACUACUGUAAGACAGAUGAGAAAACCUGAGGUUUGUGUUGCUUUCCCUCCUCCUUGCUUUGAACAAACUCUGCUGAACAAGGAUUCUCUACCAAA
ensembl:lincRNA 2810030D12Rik RIKEN cDNA 2810030D12 gene